GCAGGACGCAGAACAGACAGGACGUGAGAUCACGACGCAGGACGUAGAGCAGACAGGAAGUGAGAUCAGGACUCAGGACCCAGAGCAGACAGGAAGUGAGAUCAGGACUCAGGACCCAGAGCAGACAGGAAGUGAGGUCAGGACGCAGAACAGGACGUGAGAUCAGGAUGCAGGACGUAGAGCAGACAGGAAGUGAGAUCAGGACGCGGGACCCAGAGCAGACAGGAAGUGAGAUCAGGACUCAGGACCCAGAGCAGACAGGAAGUGAGGUCAGGAUGCAGGACGCAGAACAGACAGGACAUGAGAUCAGGACGCAGGACGUAGAGCAGACAGGAAGUGAGAUCAGGACGCGGGACCCAGAGCAGACAGGAAGUGAAGUCCGAACACAUCCGCUGGCUCAGGGUAAACACGUCCCACAGUCACAACAGUCAGCACGAAGGGUGGAUUUAUCCAGACCUGAGAUGCAACGGCAUGGGCAGGCCUGGACGGGUGGCAGGCA